AUUGAACGCUGGCGGCAGGCCCAACACAUGCAAGUCGAAUGGUAACAGGAAACAGCUUGCUGUUUCGCUGACGAGUGGCGGACGGGUGAGUAAUGUCUGGGAAACUGCCUGAUGGAGGGGGAUAACUACUGGAAACGGUAGCUAAUACCGCAUAACGUCGCAAGACCAAAGAGGGGGACCUUCGGGCCUCUUGCCAUCAGAUGUGCCCAGAUGGGAUUAGCUAGUAGGUGGGGUAACGGCUCACCUAGGCGACGAUCCCUAGCUGGUCUGAGAGGAUGACCAGCCACACUGGAACUGAGACACGGUCCAGACUCCUACGGGAGGCAGCAGUGGGGAAUAUUGCACAAUGGGCGCAAGCCUGAUGCAGCCAUGCCGCGUGUAUGAAGAAGGCCUUCGGGUUGUAAAGUACUUUCAGCGGGGAGGAAGGGAGUAAAGUUAAUACCUUUGCUCAUUGACGUUACCCGCAGAAGAAGCACCGGCUAACUCCGUG
rnacentral:rRNA from 1 species